CCUACGGGCGGCAGCAGUGGGGAAUAUUGGACAAUGGGGGGAACCCUGAUCCAGCCAUGCCGCGUGUGUGAAGAAGGCCCUCGGGUUGUAAAGCACUUUCAGUGAGGAAGAACGCCUGGUGGUUAAUACCCAUCAGGAAAGACAUCACUCACAGAAGAAGCACCGGCUAACUCCGUGCCGGCAGCCGCGGUAAUACGGAGGGUGCGAGCGUUAAUCGGAAUUACUGGGCGUAAAGCGCGCGUAGGUGGCUUGAUAAGCCGGUUGUGAAAGCCCCGGGCUCAACCUGGGAACGGCAUCCGGAACUGUCAAGCUAGAGUGCAGGAGAGGAAGGUAGAAUUCCCGGUGUAGCGGUGAAAUGCGUAGAGAUCGGGAGGAAUACCAGUGGCGAAGGCGGCCUUCUGGACUGACACUGACACUGAGGUGCGAAAGCGUGGGUAGCAAACAGGAUUAGAUACCCUAGUAGUC
rnacentral:rRNA from 1 species